rnacentral:rRNA from 1 species
AUUGAACGCUGGCGGCAGGCCUAACACAUGCAAGUCGAACGAGUGGCGGACGGGUGAGUAAUGUCUGGGAAACUGCCUGAUGGAGGGGGAUCACUAUUGGACACGGUCGCUAAUCCCACAUUCCAUCAGAUGUGCACAGAUGGGAUUAGCUAGUUGGUGGGGUAACGGCUCACCAAGGCGACGAUCCCUAGCUGGUCUGAGAGGAUGACCAGCCACACUGGAACUGAGACACGGUCCAGACUCCUACGGGAGGCAGCAGUGGGGAAUAUUGCACAAUGGGCGCAAGCCUGAUGCAGCCAUGCCGCGUGUAUGAAGAAGGCCUUCGGGUUGUAAAGUACUUUCAGCGGGGAGGCGUUACCCGCAGAAGAAGCACCGGCUAACUCCGUGCCAGCAGCCGCGGUAAUUC